UUGUCCUGUGCCUUUUCCUGCUCCCCUGUGCAUGCUCAGUCUUAACAGGGUAGUCUGGCCGGACACACAGCAAUUUCCCUCUCAGUUUAGGAGAGCUGUCCUAAGAAUAGGGCUGGCUCUUAAAGGCACGAGAGGACAAU